rnacentral:rRNA from 1 species
ACGCUGGCGGCACGCCUAAUACAUGCAAGUCGAACGGGGUAGCAAUACCUAGUGGCAGACGGGUGAGUAACAUGUGGGUAUCUUCCCUUUGGUGAGGAAUAACACGAGGAAACUUGUGCUAAUACCUCAUAAGUCUUUACGGAGAAAGCUUUAUGCGCCAAUGGAUGAGCCUGCACUUGAUUAGUUAGUUGGUGGGGUAAAGGCCUACCAAGACAUUGAUCAAUAGCUGAUUUGAGAGGAUGAUCAGCCACAUUGGGACUGAGACACGGCCCAAACUCCUACGGGAGGCAGCAGUAGGGAAUCUUGCACAAUGGAGGAAACUCUGAUGCAGCGAUGCCGCGUGAGUGAAGAAGGCCCUUGGGUUGUAAAGCUCUUUCGUCGGGGAAGAAAAUGACUGUACCCGAAUAAGAAGGUCCGGCUAACUUCGUGCCAGCAGCCGCGGUAAUACGAAGGGACCUAGCGUAGUUCGGAAUUACUGGGCUUAAAGAGUUCGUAGGUGGUUAAAAAAGUUGGUGGUGAAAUCCCAGAGCUUAACUCUGGAACUGCCAUCAAAACUUUUUAGCUAGAGUUUGAUAGAGGAAAGCAGAAUUUCUAGUGUAGAGGUGAAAUUCGUAGAUAUUAGAAAGAAUACCGAUUGCGAAGGCAGCUUUCUGGAUCAAUACUGACACUGAGGAACGAAAGCAUGGGUAGCGAAGAGGAUUAGAUACCCUCGUAGUCCAUGCCGUAAACGAUGUGUGUUAGAUGUUGGAAAUUUAUUUUCAGUAUCGCAGCGAAAGCGUUAAACACACCGCCUGGGGAGUACGACC